ensembl:antisense 4932702P03Rik RIKEN cDNA 4932702P03 gene
CUUCCUCGCUCUGCUUCUCCACCCGCCGUGGGAGCCGUUUUCCUCAGCCCAGCUCUGUUGAUGCUCAUUCUGGGCCCGGUCCCAAAGUAAGCUGCUCACAACGGUGGACUAGACCGGUACUCGUCAAUGCCAUACUUGGACCCCUCGCGCCCAAGGCCGGACUGUUUCACCCCACCAAAAGGACAUUCCACUGAAGAGAUGAGCCCUUCAUUCACACCGACCAUGCCGACCUCCAGCUGCUCCGCCACUCUCCAGAUCUGGGCCGGGUCUUGAGAGUAAAAGUAACCUAGCAGGGGAACAAAGGCAGGCAGACGGUUUGAGGAAUUCUCCUGAAAGUCACACGCGCCAGCCUCUGAGGGUGCCUGCCUGGUCACAGAGGCCCCGGGGUUCUCCUGCUUGCAGGUAAAGAAAGGCCCAGGUUGGUUUUGUCCACAUUUUCAUCCUAACAUCACGUUAAGCGUCUGUUUCUCUCUUGUUUGGGGUCCUCCCCAGUCCCACUUGGCCUCUGUAAGCAUGCGCGUCUGUGCUCUCCUCCUGCUCCUCAGCCCCUCCUCCUUCAGAGGGCAAGAUGCUUCUUUAAGCCUUGCGGGUCGAUCCUAGUUGUCUAUAAAACAAGCCCACAUUGCCCGGUCCUGUCCCAGAGUGUGGCUGGGUCAGCCUUUUCAGCUUACUCCUGACUGUAAUUCAGAACUUAAGAGUAAUGCUCAAAAGGCGGAGGCUGGCCUUGACUUGCGUCAUGCCGACGGUGGCUGCCAGUCAGAAAACCUACCUGCCAAUCCAACCUCAGCUGCAUUUGCGAUGGCGACGGCCUCUUCCUCCUUAUCAAACCUGUCGGAGUUAAAGCAGGUCAUGAGCAAAAUCUGUGAGCUGAGGAAUAGAGAAAACCAGCUUUAUGUUCUCCCGAUUCACUUCCUAAAUACUGACAAGGAGAAGGUCAGAGUUGCAAAGCGAUCGAAGGGGAGGAGAAAUGAGUGGAGUAGAAGUGCAGACAUGGUAACUCAGCCUUCUCCAAGACCUGGUAAAGCAACGUGGCCCACCUUCUCUGAGAGAGGGAAAAGCGGACCAACCGAGGAGAGACAUCGUCAAACAAAAUCCUUUAAGGAAAGGACUGCUAGGUGCAGUGCUGGCUCAUUAGUUAACAGCACUUGUUGCUCUUGCAGAGGACCUGGGUUUGACUCCCAGCACCCACAUGGUGGCUCACAACUCUUAACUCCAGUCCCAGCAGAUCUGACAUCUUCUUCUGAGCCCUUCCAGGUCCUGGAUCUAAGUAGAAAACGGAAUAUUUUCAGACCACUGAUCUGCGAAUUAUCCAGGCAAAUGAUUAUUUAUUAAGGUGGGAUAAAAGAUUAUACAAGGUUAUAGUUCCUUUCCUAUAGACUGAGAGGAUAGAGGCCUUGAGGGUAUUAGAAAAAUACUCUUAGAAAUCAGUGGGGGAAAGUAAGUUUAGAGGCAUUAAGAAAUCUAAAUGAGGGAUUUUGAUGAAUUUUGUGCUUAAAAUUGGGUAUGGUGUAUGCCUAUAGGGGAGGCUAAAGCAAGAAAGUUGAGAGUUUAAGGCCAGCCUGGGUUACAGAAGGCCUUGUUUCAAACAGACAAACACCCAAAACUAAAACCAACAAUAACCACCUUCCACACCACUCAACACAGACAAAACACAAACACCAAAAACUGGGGCUAGGACUAGGGAGACCUGGCUCUGUUGGUAAAUGCUGAGUUUGAUUCCCCAGAACCCGUAUGAAAACUCAGUUGUGGUGGCCUGUGCUUGGGAUCCCAGGUCUAACCAACCUACUCUACCUGGAGAGUCCUGGGUUGCAGUGAGAGACCCUGUCUCCAAGUUUAAGGUGGACAGCUCCCAAGAAGUAACACCCAGGGUUGACCGAUAUGUGCACCUGAAUACACAAAUUCCAAAAUCAAACCCCAACUAUCAUAAAGCCGACUCUGCUGCUUGACUCUGACUGUUCAACUCUGUUUGACUCUGCUAUGCAGCUGACUGCAUCUGCUCAGCCUUCCUAUUCUCUCUCUCUCUCAGACUAGCUUUUCCUUCCCAAGUGUCUCCUUCCUUCCACUACUGGAGGAACGUACUUGAUGACUGGUGCCAGAGGCCCAAAGGUCUCCUCAGUGAUGCAGAGCAUGUCCCUGGUGACAUUGCUGAGCAGGGUGGGCUCAAAGAAAUUUCCUCCACUUUGGUGUCGCUUUCCGCCCGUCACAACCGUGGCCCCUUUGGCAACUGCGUCAUUCACCUGCUUCUCUACCUGAGAGAUGAGAAGAAGGGCACCAGGGAAAGCUGGAUAGGGACAUUUUCCAAACUGUACAAUCCCUUAAAAUGUUAAACAGCAAAAAACCAGUCAAGACUUGAUUCCUGGGAAUCACAUGGUGGAAGGAGAGAACGGACUCUGGAUAGCCCAUCGCUUUUCUGAGCUUUGCAUUUACGGAUGCUGGGCUGGUUGUACUCUUAGACCACUUGUCUACUUCUGUCUGGGUUGAAGAGAUGUUUGGAUACAUCUCAAAUAUAAUGGCAUUGCUUACCCAUGACAGAUGUUCGGUCUCAGAAAUGUGUUCUUAGCUGAUUUCACUAUUGAAUAAACAUCUUACAAUAUUUUGAUAUAAACCC